AUGUGUCAUCUGCUCCCGGUCCCGGGCACCGGAACAAAUCGGAACAGGGUCUAUUCGUGGGGGCGGAGCCUAUCGCAACCCUGGUCCUUUCCGCAGGUUCCGAGAUCAUGGCACCGCCCAGUGGGCGGGCCCUCAAGCUGAAAGCGAGGGGGUCUGCUGCCGGAAAGAGGCCAGAGCCUGUGGGCACCGGAGAGAUAUACUGGAAUCUGAUGCUAGUUAUACAUCUCUAAACUGUGAAGAGGAUGGUUUUCCAUCUGUACCAGUUCUGGGCCUGCUUCUUGAAUCCACACCUCUGCUCCACAUCACUGGCAAGCCAAUACCUGCAAGUUAUAUUCUCUGACUUUCCCAUGCAAAAAUGUGGCCCAAGGAACUUCAAAUGGCCUAUGCGAGGGCGUCCCUGAGGCAGUUAGUUUCUUCCUCUGUAAAAGGCUCCAAGGACUUACUUCACCAAUCUUAUCCAAGGGAGGACCCAAAAUCUUCCUGUGGGAAAGAGCCUCUUCUCACAUCUCUAUUGAGAUCUGAGGGCCACUUGCUAAAAUAUGCAGGACCCGGUGCCUCUCAGCAAUACAGUCCCAGUGGAUGGGGGAGCGAGGUGGAAGGGAGCCACCAUCACCUGCCAAUGGAAAGGGAAGAGAGGGGAGGAGCUGGAACAAUCUGUGUGGGUUUGGGACAGUGAUUUUUGAGUGAUCAGAUGGUCUCCAGCUCCCUGUUAAGUGUCUGCACCAACUUGUAUUGAUUCCCAAACAUACCUCACUUCCGUUCAAGGAGAAGUCCUUUCCCACCACAGCCGGGCUGUUCUGCUGACCCUCAACCCUCUCCACACUCCUGCUGAGCUGACUCAUCCUUCAGGGCCUGAUUGCCACCGCCGCUCCUGCCAGGCACAGCUGUUGUUGGCCACACCUGCAGCCAUGCCACCGGGGUCCUGGGCAAUGCCACUGCCCCUGCUUGAUUGCAGGCCACAGCAUGCACAGGAGGCUAUCGCUUCUUGGGGGAAUACCUGAACACCGCAAGCAUGCUUUGUCAACGUCUUCCCCUAUUUUGAUCUGGUGCCUGGACCUUCCUUCCAUGCCUCCCCCUCCCACACCCAGGCCCGGCAGCACUCUGAUCCAGGAGCCUCCCUCUGUGUGACAGGGAUAACCUGGAUGCUCACAGACCUCAUCAGCCUGCGGGAACGAAAGAGACCACGAUAUCAUUUGGACACAUAUGUUCCUAAUUCAAUACUGCGUCAUCCUAACCGAGAAGACGUAAGUGACUGGUCCAAGGUGGUUAGGAAGCUCUGCUGGGUGAGGUCACCCAAACAUCCAGUUUCUCUGCAACCUGCAUCCCCCGCUACCAUCCAAGAUGUUCUCCUCAUCUCUACCAUGUCCACAUUCCAGCCUGCAGGAAGGAGGACAGAGAGAGCCGGAAUGACCAGUGCUCCUGGUCGUAAGGAGAUGGCCCAGUUUGGUGAAAGAUGUACUUGCUGAGGUAGCAGAGGGCCUCUGGCUGAGGGACAGCUGUGCCCUAUAUCACAAGGAGCAAAUGAAGGUAAUUAGGCUGGAGGGAUACCAGACGGGAAGCCCAGAACUUCAGACUCCAAUGAGAGCUUGGAAGGCAAUAAGCUACUGAGGCACAGAAAGAUGAAGAAGUACCAACAGGGUCACCGGUUAGUGGCAGAACCAUUGCAGAUCUAAGCAGCCUGGCUCCGGAGCCUCCGAGUGCAACCUCCGCAUCAUACAGCCUCUCAAGAUGUCAGCAGCCCACCCCAGACCUAAAGAAUCAGAUCCUCUGAGGGAGGGACAUGGGAAUCUGCAUUUCAACAAGUUUCAAAUAGGUGGUUCUGAUGCACAGCCAGAGUCAGACUGCAGAUCUAAAAAGUAGCAGCAAGCCUGGGGCUGCGUGACUAGAACAAAUAAGUCUGCUUCCGGGAUUUUCAAGUUUGUCUGAUCAUGUGAACAUGAGGCCUGCUGAAUAAUGUUGAUGGAUUGUGUCCUCUUUGUGAGGGGGGAACCCAAACCCAGGUCAAUCACAAAGAACCUGUGAGCAGAAGGCCAACUCAGGAGACCUGCCCAUGAGACAUUUUCUGAAGGGGCUCCAGCCACUGGCCACCAUCCUUGGAACUCUGUGUACCUGCCUAGUUCCUGGACUUUGAUCUCCCAUCUGACCUCCUUCUCACCCCUGCUCUGAUCUGACAACUCCUGCUGGGUUGACCCCAUCUCUGACCCCAGCCCGCCUGGGUUUUCAGUCUCACUGCUCCAGGCUGAAGUCUCACAGGAUGACAGCCUGAGGCAAGACAGUAUUUGCAUCGGCCACCAAUAAUGGGAGCAGGAUGCUACCUCUUCUAAUGAUGUAAUGACAAAUGGAAUAUUCAUGUUAAAAGAACUGUGACUUUCAGGGUGGAAUUCCGGUAAUCUCAAACCAACUCUGUGACCAUCACUGAACGUGGAAUGUUGAAAUAGAAAUAAACAGGCCUUCAUCCCAA